GGUAAAAUCAAUUGGUUACUUUGGCAUUGACGGGCUCAUAAUCCGUUGGUCCUAGGUUCAAGUCCUAGUGGGCCCACCA
rnacentral:tRNA from 1 species